rnacentral:rRNA from 1 species
UACGGAAGGGGCAAGCGUUGUUCGGAAUCAUUGGGCGUAAAGGGCGCGUAGGUGGUUCUGUAUGUCUACCGUGAAAGCAUACAGCUCAACUGUAUUUUUGUCGGGUAGAAAACUGCAGGGACUUGAGGCUGGGAGGGGCUGGUGGAAUUCCCUGUGUAGCGGUGAAAUGCGUAGAGAUGGGGGGAGAACACUCGUGGCGAAGGCGGCCAGCUAGACCAGUUCUGACACUGGAGGCGCGACAGCGUGGGGAGCAAACAGG